UUCCUACUCCCUCCGUUCGGAAUUACUUGUCUCGAAAAUAGAUGUAUCUAGAACUAAAAUAUGUCUAGAUACAUCCAUUUUUGCGACAAGUAAUUCCGAACGGAGGGAGUAGAUA
rnacentral:pre_miRNA from 1 species